AGAGUUUGAUCCUGGCUCAGGACGAACGCUGGCGGCGUGCCUAACACAUGCAAGUCGAACGGAAGUAAGAGCUUCGGUUUUUACUUUAGUGGCGAACGGGUGAGUAACGCGUGAAGAACCUGCCUUUCAGUGGGGGACAACAGUUGGAAACGACUGCUAAUACCGCAUAAUGUAUUGAGGGGGCAUCCCUUUGAUACCAAAGAUUUAUUGCUGAAAGAUGGCUUCGCGUCUGAUUAGCUAGAUGGCGGGGUAACGGCCCACCAUGGCGACGAUCAGUAGCCGGUCUGAGAGGAUGAACGGCCACAUUGGGACUGAGAUACGGCCCAGACUCCUACGGGAGGCAGCAGUGGGGAAUAUUGGGCAAUGGGGGAAACCCUGACCCAGCAACGCCGCGUGAAGGAAGAAGGCCCUCGGGUUGUAAACUUCUUUUACCAGGGACGAAGAACGUGACGGUACCUGGAGAAAAAGCCACGGCUAACUACGUGCCAGCAGCCGCGGUAAUACGUAGGUGGCAAGCGUUGUCCGGAUUUACUGGGUGUAAAGGGCGUGUAGGCGGAGAUGCAAGUUGGGAGUGAAAUCCCGGGGCUCAACCCCGGAACUGCUUUCAAAACUGCAUCCCUUGAGUGUCGGAGAGGCAAGUGGAAUUCCUAGUGUAGCGGUGAAAUGCGUAGAUAUUAGGAGGAACACCAGUGGCGAAGGCGACUUGCUGGACGAUAACUGACGCUGAGGCGCGAAAGCGUGGGGAGCANACAGGAUUAGAUACCCUGGUAGUCCACGCUGUAAACGAUGAAUACUAGGUGUGGGGGGACUGACCCCCUCCGUGCCGCAGUUAACACAAUAAGUAUUCCACCUGGGGAGUACGACCGCAAGGUUGAAACUCAAAGGAAUUGACGGGGGCCCGCACAAGCAGUGGAUUAUGUGGUUUAAUUCGACGCAACGCGAAGAACCUUACCAGGAUUUGACAUCCCACUAACGAAGUAGAGAUACAUUAGGUGCCCUUCGGGGAAAGUGGAGACAGGUGGUGCAUGGUUGUCGUCAGCUCGUGUCGUGAGAUGUUGGGUUAAGUCCCGCAACGAGCGCAACCCCUAUUGUUAGUUGCUACGCAAGAGCACUCUAGCGAGACUGCCGUUGACAAAACGGAGGAAGGCGGGGACGACGUCAAAUCAUCAUGCCCCUUAUGUCCUGGGCUACACACGUAAUACAAUGGCCGUCAACAGAGGGAAGCAAGUCCGCGAGGAGGAGCAAAUCCCUAAAAACGGUCUCAGUUCGGAUUGCAGGCUGCAACUCGCCUGCAUGAAGCUGGAAUUGCUAGUAAUCGCGGAUCAGCAUGCCGCGGUGAAUACGUUCNCCGGGCCCUUGUACACACCGCCCGUC
rnacentral:rRNA from 1 species